rnacentral:rRNA from 1 species
AACGAACGCUGGCGGCAUGCCUAACACAUGCAAGUCGAACGAGACCUUCGGGUCUAGUGGCGCACGGGUGCGUAACGCGUGGGAACCUGCCCUUAGGUUCGGAAUAACUCCCCGAAAGGGGUGCUAAUACCGGAUAAUGUCUUCGGACCAAAGAUUUAUCGCCUUUGGAUGGGCCCGCGUUGGUUUAGCUAGUUGGUAGGGUAAAAGCCUAUCAAGGCGACGAUCCAUAGCUGGUCUGAGAGGAUGAUCAGCCACACUGGGACUGAGACACGGCCCAGACUCCUACGGGAGGCAGCAGUGGGGAAUAUUGGACUAUGGGGGAAAGCCUGAUCCAGCAAUGCCGCGUGAGUGAUGAAGUCCUUAGGGUUGUAAAGCUCUUUUACCCGGGAUGAUAAUGACAGUACCGGGAGAAUAAGCUCCGGCUAACUCCGUG